AUUGAACGCUGGCGGCAUGCUUUACACAUGCAAGUCGAACGGUAACAGGCCUUCGGGUGCUGACGAGUGGCGGACGGGGGAGUAAUGCAUCGGAACGUACCCAGAGGUGGGUGAUAACGCAGCGAAAGCUGUGCAAAUACAGCCUGAUAUCGGAGGCUGCAAGCGGGGGACAGAGCAGCAACGUUUGGCCUCGCGCGUUUGGAGCGGCCGAUGUCGGAUUAGCUGGUUGGCGGGGUAAAGGCCUACCAAGGCGACGAUCCGUAGCUGGUCUGAGAGGACGACCAGCCACACUGGAACUGAGACACGGUCCAGACUCCUACGGGAGGCAGCAGUGGGGAAUAUUGGACAAUGGGCGCAAGCCUGAUCCAGCCAUACCGCGUGGGGGAAGAAGGCCUUCGGGUUGUAAAGCGCUUUUGUUAGGAAAGAAAAGCAGCAGGUUAAUACCGCGCUGUUCUGACGGUACCUGAAGAAUAAGCACCGGCUAACUUCGUG
rnacentral:rRNA from 1 species